ACUAUCACACACAGCCCUGUGGUGUGGCUGCUGUGUUACGGGCAUGUCAGUAAGUGGCAGAGAGAAAAGAGGCCAUGUCUAUGUCCAGUGUUCUAACCUAUGAACAGCCGAAUGAUUAGUAACCUAACAUU